AUGUCCAGGGUCCGAAAUUCUCAGCCACGCCACCAAUCAUGGCCGAAUUACAGAGUCAGCUCUUUCUUUCCAAAAACGCGUUCCAUCUCAUUCAAUCCCCAUCAAAAUCCAUUAAACCAAUUUUCCAUUUUCAUCAACCUUUGAACCUAUAAAUAAAGUUCUCAUUCCUCACUUAUACACACACAAAAAGUUUUCUUGAGUUGUCAAAGAACUUUUCUCUCUUCUCCCUCCUUCAGCUUGUGUUGACGAGCUAUUCUUUUUUUCUCCCUCUUUUUUAGUCCCUUCGGAUUUAAAGAGUGUUUUUAAGGCCAUAGUCCCUUCGGUUUAUAAUGUCCCUUCGAAAUUAAGAAUGGUCUUAAGAACAUAGUCCCUAUUCGGUUUAUCAUCCAUGUUUAGAUUGUAUUUUAGGAAGUUGUAAUAUAAAAAAUAAAAA
rnacentral:lncRNA from 1 species